AGCUCAGAUUGAACGCUGGCGGCAGGCUUAACACAUGCAAGUCGAACGAUGACUCUCUAGCUUGCUAGAGAUGAUUAGUGGCGGACGGGUGAGUAACAUUUAGGAAUCUGCCUAGUAGUGGGGGAUAGCUCGGGGAAACUCGAAUUAAUACCGCAUACGACCUACGGGUGAAAGGGGGCGCAAGCUCUUGCUAUUAGAUGAGCCUAAAUCAGAUUAGCUAGUUGGUGGGGUAAAGGCCCACCAAGGCGACGAUCUGUAACUGGUCUGAGAGGAUGAUCAGUCACACCGGAACUGAGACACGGUCCGGACUCCUACGGGAGGCAGCAGUGGGGAAUAUUGGACAAUGGGGGCAACCCUGAUCCAGCCAUGCCGCGUGUGUGAAGAAGGCCUUUUGGUUGUAAAGCACUUUAAGCAGGGAGGAGAGGCUAAUGGUUAAUACCCAUUAGAUUAGACGUUACCUGCAGAAUAAGCACCGGCUAACUCUGUGCCAGCAGCCGCGGUAAUACAGAGGGUGCGAGCGUUAAUCGGAAUUACUGGGCGUAAAGCGAGUGUAGGUGGCUCAUUAAGUCACAUGUGAAAUCCCCGGGCUUAACCUGGGAACUGCAUGUGAUACUGGUGGUGCUAGAAUAUGUGAGAGGGAAGUAGAAUUCCAGGUGUAGCGGUGAAAUGCGUAGAGAUCUGGAGGAAUACCGAUGGCGAAGGCAGCUUCCUGGCAUAAUAUUGACACUGAGAUUCGAAAGCGUGGGUAGCAAACAGGAUUAGAUACCCUGGUAGUCCACGCCGUAAACGAUGUCUACUAGCCGUUGGGGUCCUUGAGACUUUAGUGGCGCAGUUAACGCGAUAAGUAGACCGCCUGGAGACGCGGCCUUGGC
rnacentral:rRNA from 2 species